rnacentral:rRNA from 1 species
UAGAAGGUUUUGGAUCAUGGCUCAGAUUGAACGCUGGCGGCAUGCCUUACACAUGCAAGUCGAACGGCAGCACGGGUGCUUGCACCUGGUGGCGAGUGGCGAACGGGUGAGUAAUACAUCGGAACAUGUCCUGUAGUGGGGGAUAGCCCGGCGAAAGCCGGAUUAAUACCGCAUACGAUCCACGGAUGAAAGCGGGGGACCUUCGGGCCUCGCGCUAUAGGGUUGGCCGAUGGCUGAUUAGCUAGUUGGUGGGGUAAAGGCCUACCAAGGCGACGAUCAGUAGCCGGUCUGAGAGGACGACCAGCCACACUGGGACUGAGACACGGCCCAGACUCCUACUGGUGAAGCACGCCAGUGGGGAAUUUUGCACAAUAGGCGAAAGCCUGAUCCAGCAAUGCCGCGUGUGUGGAAGAAGGCCUUCGGGUUGUAAAGCACUUUUGUCAGGAAAGAAAUCCUUGGCUCUAAUACAGUCCGGGGAUUGACGGUACCCGAAGAAUAAGGCACCGGCCUAACUACGUUGCCAGCAGCCGCGGUAAUACGUAGGGUGCAAGGCGUUAAUUCGAAAUAACUGGGCGGUAAAGCGUGCGCAGGCGGUUUGCUAAGACCGAUGUGAAAUCCCCGGGCUCAACCUGGGAACUGCAUUGGUGACUGGCAGGCUAGAGUAUGGCAGAGGGGGGUAGAAUUCCACGUGUAGCAGUGAAAUGCGUAGAGAUGUGGAGGAAUACCGAUGGCGAAGGCAGCCCCCUGGGCCAAUACUGACGCUCAUGCACGAAAGCGUGGGGGAGCAAACAGGAUUAGAUACCCUGGUAGUCCACGCCCUAAACGAUGUCAACUAGUUGUUGGGGAUUCAUUUCCUUAGUAACGUAGCUAACGCGUGAAGUUGACCGCCUGGGGAGUACGGUCGCAAGAAUUAAAACUCAAAGGAAUUGACGGGGACCCGCACAAGCGGUGGAUGAUGGUGAAUUAAUUCGAUGCAACGCGAAAAACCUUACCUACCCUUGACAUGGUCCGGAAUCCUGCUGAGAGGCGGGAGUUGCUCGAAAGAGAGACCGGCGCCACAGGUGCUGCCAUGGCUGUCGUUCAGCUUCGUGUUCGUGGAGAAUGUAGGGUUAAGUUCCCGCACACGAGCGCAACCCUUGUCCUUAGUUGCUACGCCAAGAGACACUCUAAGGAGACUGCCGGUGACAAACCGGAGGAAAGUGAUGGAUGACGGAUCAAGUCCUCAUGGCCCUUAUGGGUAGGGCUUCACACGUCAUACAAUGGUCGGAACAGAGGGUUGCCAACCCGCGAGGGGGAGCUAAUCCCAGAAAACCGAUCGUAGUCCGGGUUGCACUCUGCAACUCGAGUGCAUGAAGCUGGAAUCGCUAGUAAUCGCGGAUCAGCAUGCCGCGGUGAAUACGUUCCCGGGUCUUGUACACACCGCCCGUCACACCAUGGGAGUGGGUUUUACCAGAAGUGGCUAGUCUAACCGCAAGGAGGACGGUCACCACGGUAGGAUUCAUGACUGGGGUGAAGUCGUAACAAGGUAACCGUAAAUCGGCAUCCCCCCGAGAAGCCCCCC